AGUUUUAUAGUUUUAAAAAAUAUUAAAUUGCAAAUUUAAAGAUAGAAAUAAUAUUCUUAAAACUU
rnacentral:tRNA from 1 species